GACGAACGCUGGCGGCGUGCUUAACACAUGCAAGUCGAACGGAAAGGCCCCUUUGGGGGUACUCGAGUGGCGAACGGGUGAGUAACACGUGAGUAACCUGCCCUUGACUUCGGGAUAACUUCAGGAAACUGGGGCUAAUACCGGAUAGGAAUCCUUGCUGCAUGGUGGGGGUUGGAAAGCUUCGGCGGUUUUGGAUGGACUCGCGGCUUAUCAGCUUGUUGGUGGGGUAGUGGCUUACCAAGGCUUUGACGGGUAGCCGGCCUGAGAGGGCGACCGGCCACAUUGGGACUGAGAGACGGCCCAGACUCCUACGGGAGGCAGCAGUGGGGAAUAUUGCACAAUGGGCGGAAGCCUGAUGCAGCAACGCCGCGUGCGGGAUGACGGCCUUCGGGUUGUAAACCGAUUUCAGCAGGGGCGAAGCUUGUGGUGACGGUACCUGCAGAAGAAGCACCGGCUAACUACGUG
rnacentral:rRNA from 1 species